rnacentral:rRNA from 1 species
UACGAAGGGGGCGAGCGUUGUUCGGAAUUACUGGGCGUAAAGGGCGCGUAGGCGGCGACUCAAGUUAGAUGCGAAAGUCCUGGGCUUAACCUGGGGACUGCAUUUGAUACUGGGUUGCUUGAAUUCGGGAGAGGAUAGCGGAAUUCCCAGUGUAGAGGUGAAAUUCGUAGAUAUUCGGAAGAACACCAGUGGCGAAGGCGACUUACUGGACACAUAUUGACGCUGAGGUGCGAAAGCGUGGGGAGCAAACAGG